GCUUGACAUAUAGGGAAAAGUGGCAGAGAUGUCAUGUCCGCAAGGGCUCUAUACAGGUGGUGCAUGGUUGUCGUCAGCUCGUGUCGUGAGAUGUUGGGUUAAGUCCCGCAACGAGCGCAACCCUCGUUCUGUGUUGCCAGCAUUUAGUUGGGGACUCACAGGAGACUGCCGGGGUUAACUCGGAGGAAGGUGGGGAUGACGUCAAAUCAUCAUGCCCCUUAUGUCUUGGGCUGCACGCAUGCUACAAUGGCCGGUACAGAGGGCUGCAAUACCGUAAGGUGGAGCGAAUCCCAAAAAGCCGGUCUCAGUUCGGAUUGAGGUCUGCAACUCGACCUCAUGAAGUUGGAGUUGCUAGUAAUCGUAGAUCAGCAACGCUACGGUGAAUACGUUCCCGGGGCUUGUACACACCGCCCGUCACGUCACGAAAGUCGGAACACCCAAAGUCAGUG
rnacentral:rRNA from 1 species